CAAUAAGAUUACAUUUGAUUGUCAGCUGGGAUCCACUCGACGAAGAUGGGAAAGACGGUGACUUUGAAGUAUGGACCAUUCAUGAAGAGAUGAGACGUAACUUUAUACUCAGACAAGCAUUUGACCCCUCUUAUCAAAGAGUUGGAGUCUGCUGGGUUUGAUGUAGUGGCUGACAAGAUCGCAAGAAAAGAUCAUUGUGAACUUGUCAUUGAUAAACAGGUUGUAUGGACUUGCAGCAUAAAUCUGUUUCAAGCAGUAAUGAGGAAAAGGAACGACCCAAUGAUUCAAGCAGCUGUAAAGGCAUGUAGAUCUGCAUCAGGAAAUGCAAAAGCUUAACAUUGUGUCAUUUAAUAACAGCGACAAGAGGA